rnacentral:rRNA from 1 species
GAUGAACGCUGGCGGCGUGCCUAAUACAUGCAAGUCGAGCGCACGGACGUGAAGCUUGCUUCUCUGAUGUUAGCGGCGGACGGGUGAGUAACACGUGGAUAACCUACCUAUAAGACUGGGAUAACUUCGGGAAACCGGAGCUAAUACCGGAUAAUAUUUUGAACCGCAUGGUUCAAAAGUGAAAGACGGUCUUGCUGUCUCUUAUAGAUGGAUCCGCGCUGCCUUAGCUAGUUGGUAAGGUCACGGCUUACCCAGGCAACGAUGCAUAGCCGACAUGAGAGAGGGGUCGGCCGCACUGGAGCGUGGACACGGUCCAUGCUCCUGAGGGAGGCAGCAGUAGAGAAUCUGCCGCAGUGGGCGGAAGCCUGACGGAACGGCGCGGCGUGUGAUAUAGAGAUCUUCGGAUCGUGAAAAUCUGUUAUGAGUGAAGAACAUAUGUGAGAGUGAAUGUGCACAUCUUGACGGUACCUAAACAGAAAGCCACGGCUAACUACGUG